rnacentral:rRNA from 1 species
ACACUGACGUCGCGACGCAUAUCAAUAAGCGGAGGAAAAGAAACUAACAAGGAUUCCCUUAGUAACGGCGAGUGAAGCGGGAAGAGCUCAAAUUUGAAAUCUUCAAGGUUCUACCUUGACGAAUUGUAGUUUAAAGAAGUGUUUUCUGUUAGAUGAGUAGCAAAAGUUCCUUGGAAUAGGGACAUCAUAGAGGGUGAGAAUCCCGUAUUUGGUCUAUUCCUUCUAGCUUUGUGAUACACUUUCAAAGAGUCGGAUUGUUUGGGAAUGCAGUCCAAAAUGGGUGGUAAAUUUCAUCUAAAGCUAAAUAUUGGCGAGAGACCGAUAGCGAACAAGUACCGUGAGGGAAAGAUGAAAAGAACUUUGAAAAGAGAGUUAAACAGUACGUGAAAUUGUCAAAAGGGAAGCGUUUGACACCAGUGUUGUUUUUCCGAAAAUCAAUUAUAGAUGUUUUGUUUCUGAGGAGUGAUGACUUCAUCGGCUUCCUUCUCUCUUCACGAAACUUUUGUAAUGCACUUUUCGGUUAACAAGUCAACAUCAAUUUCUUUUGUUGUAAAAGAGUAUUCGGAAGGUGGCUUUCUUUUCGGAGAAAGUGUUUAUAGCCCUAUACUUCUACAAUCGGAGAGAUUGAGGUCUGCAGCGUAGAUCCUUCGGGGUUAGAUACAUUUGUGCUAAGUUAUAGCUUUUCAUAGACAACUUGUUGACUAUGUUUAGUCUUGUAGCUUACUCGCUUGUGCUAUUUUACCUACGCUUAGGAUGUUGAGUCGUAGAGCACGCAG